rnacentral:rRNA from 1 species
CACUCCUGCGGGAGGCAGCAGUGGGGAAUAUUGCACAAUGGGCGCAAGCCUGAUGCAGCCAUGCCGCGUGUAUGAAGAAGGCCUUCGGGUUGUAAAGUACUUUCAGCGGGGAGGAAGGCGAUAAGGUUAAUAACCUUGUUGAUUGACGUUACCCGCAGAAGAAGCACCGGCUAACUCCGUGCCAGCAGCCGCGGUAAUACGGAGGGUGCAAGCGUUAAUCGGAAUUACUGGGCGUAAAGCGCACGCAGGCGGUCUGUCAAGUCGGAUGUGAAAUCCCCGGGCUCAACCUGGGAACUGCAUUCGAAACUGGCAGGCUAGAGUCUUGUAGAGGGGGGUAGAAUUCCAGGUGUAGCGGUGAAAUGCGUAGAGAUCUGGAGGAAUACCGGUGGCGAAGGCGGCCCCCUGGACAAAGACUGACGCUCAGGUGCGAAAGCGUGGGGAGCAAACAGGAUUAGAAACCCCAGUAGUCCCAUGA